AGAGUUUGAUCCUGGCUCAGAACGAACGCUGGCGGCGCGCCUAAUACAUGCAAGUCGAGCGAGAAGGUGUAGCAAUACACUUGUAAAGCGGCGAACGGGUGAGGAAUGCAUGGGUAACCUACCCUCGAGUGGGGAAUAACUAGCCGAAAGGUUAGCUAAUACCGCAUACGUUUCCGGAACUUCGGUUUCGGAAAGAAAGCAAUACCGUGGGUAUUGCGCUCCUGGAUGGGCUCAUGUCCUAUCAGCUUGUUGGUGAGGUAACGGCUCACCAAGGCUUCGACGGGUAGCUGGUCUGAGAGGACGAUCAGCCACACUGGCACUGCGACACGGGCCAGACUCCUACGGGAGGCAGCAGUAAGGAAUAUUGCGCAAUGGACGAAAGUCUGACGCAGCGACGCCGCGUGGGGGAUGAAGGUCUUCGGAUUGUAAACCCCUUUCGGGAGGGAAGAUGGAGUGGGUAACCACUUGGACGGUACCUCCAGAAGCAGCCACGGCUAACUUCGUGCCAGCAGCCGCGGUAAUACGAAGGUGGCAAGCGUUGUUCGGAUUCACUGGGCGUACAGGGAGCGUAGGCGGUUGGGUAAGCCCUCCGUGAAAUCUCCGGGCCUAACCCGGAAAGUGCAGAGGGGACUGCUCAGCUAGAGGAUGGGAGAGGAGCGCGGAAUUCCCGGUGUAGCGGUGAAAUGCGUAAAGAUCGGGAGGAAGGCCGGUGGCGAAAGCGGCGCUCUGGAACAUUUCUGACGCUGAGGCUCGAAAGCGUGGGGAGCAAACAGGAUUA
rnacentral:rRNA from 1 species